CCUNCGGAAGGAUCAUUGUCGAGUCCCUCUUCAAGAGAUUGAGAACAUGUAGCAUUUAACCAUCGAGUCAAGCUAGUUUUGCGAUUGCACUUCUGCUUUCUAGAUGGAUGUCCUUUUGUCGCCUUCAGCUUGCUUUAUUCAAGGUAAGAAGGAGAGCGGGAAUAAGACCCCGGCGUGGUUCGCGCCAAGGACUGUUGUUGUUGGAGUGCACUGCCUUCUUUUUGUUGUGCGGUGUAUUCUCCUACUAGUGUGAGAAUAUGCAUGACUCUUGGCAACGGAUAUCUAGGCUCUCGCGUCGAUGAAGAACGUAGCGAAAUGCGAUACUUGGUGUGAAUUGCAGAAUCCCGUGAACCAUCGAGUCUUUGAACGCAAGUUGCGCCUAAGACCAUCAGGUCAAGGGCACGUCUGCUUGGGCGUCACGCCUUGCGUCACUCUAUGCGCCAACCAAGCUCAAACCAUUAUAUGGGUAUUGGUAUGUGCGGAUGUGGAUAUUGACCCUUCGUGCUUUUAAUGUGCGGCGGGUUUAAGUGAUUGUCAUUGCUAGGUUUUCAUGCGGCGAAUGGUGGAUAGAUUAUAACAUCAAACCUCCAGUUGUGCACGUUACUCCUAACUGUGACUUACAAGAAGUAUAACCCAUAACGAUGUUUGCAUUUUUUGCAAACUCGGACCAUGACCUCAG
rnacentral:rRNA from 1 species